GGAGCCCAGCCCUGGGAUGUUCAGGUGUUUGCAUUUGGUAAUCACAACUGAACACUGAGACUGAACUCACCAUGGAGUUUGCGCUGAGCUGGGUUUUCCUUCUAGCUAUUUUGAAAGGUGUCCAGUGUGAGGUGCAGCUGGUGGAGUCUGGGGGAGGCUUGGUUCAGCCUGGGGGGUCUUUGAGACUCUCCUGUGCAGCCUCUGGAUUCACCUUCAGUAGCUAUGCCAUGGGCUGGGUCCGUCAGGCUCCAGGAAAGGGGCUGGAGUGGGUCUCAACUAUUAGUACUGGUGGUAGCACGUACUACGCAGACUCCGUGAAGGGCCGAUUCACCAUCUCCAGAGACAACGCCAAGAGCAGAUGAACAGCCUGAGAGCUGAGGACACGGCCGUGUAUUACUGUGC